GAUGAACGCUAGCGGCAGGCUUAAUACAUGCAAGUCGAGGGGCAGCAUGAAUGUAGCAAUACAUUUGAUGGCGACCGGCAAACGGGUGCGGAACACGUACACAACCUUCCUAUAAGUGGGGAAUAGCCCAGAGAAAUUUGGAUUAAUACCCCGUAACAUAUAGAGUAGGCAUCUUCUUUAUAUUAUAGCUUCGGCGCUUAUUGAUGGGUGUGCGUCUGAUUAGGUAGUUGGCGGGGUAACGGCCCACCAAGCCUACGAUCAGUAGCUGAUGUGAGAGCAUGAUCAGCCACACGGGCACUGAGACACGGGCCCGACUCCUACGGGAGGCAGCAGUAAGGAAUAUUGGACAAUGGGCGAAAGCCUGAUCCAGCCAUGCCGCGUGAAGGAUUAAGGUCCUCUGGAUUGUAAACUUCUUUUAUUUGGGACGAAAAAAGGGAAUUCUUUCCCACUUGACGGUACCAAGUGAAUAAGCACCGGCUAACUCCGUGCCAGCAGCCGCCGUAAAAC
rnacentral:rRNA from 1 species